AGUGAACGCUGGCGGCAGGCCUAACACAUGCAAGUCGAACGGCAGCACGGCAGUAGCAAUACUGUGGGUGGCGAGUGGCGGACGGGUGAGGAAUACAUCGGGAUCUACCCUGUUGUGGGGGAUAACGUAGGGAAACUUACGCUAAUACCGCAUAAGAACUGAGGUUGAAAGCGGCGGACCGCAAGGCGUCGCGCGAUUGGAUGAACCGAUGUCCGAUUAGCUAGUUGGCGGGUAAAGGCCCACCAAGGCGACGAUCGGUAGCUGGUCUGAGAGGACGACCAGCCACACUGGAACUGAGACACGGUCCAGACUCCUACGGGAGGCAGCAGUGGGGAAUAUUGGACAAUGGGCGCAAGCCUGAUCCAGCCAUGCCGCGUGGGUGAAGAAGGCCUCGGUGUAAGACC
rnacentral:rRNA from 1 species